rnacentral:rRNA from 1 species
UACAGAGGGUGCAAGCGUUGUUCGGAAUUAUUGGGCGUAAAGCGUGCGCAGGCGGUUUGUUAAGUCUGUUGUGAAAUCCCCGAGCUCAACUUGGGAAUUGCAAUGGAUACUGGCAGGCUGGAGUAUGGUAGAGGAAGGUGGAAUUCCCGGUGUAGCAGUGAAAUGCGUAGAGAUCGGGAGGAACACCAGUGGCGAAGGCGGCCUUCUGGACCAAUACUGACGCUCAUGCACGAAAGCGUGGGGAGCAAACAGG